CUGACCUCGUGAUCCGCCCGCCUUGGCCUCCCAAAGUGCUGGGAUUACAGACUCAGCCCGCCUGCACCCAGGUGGUUAAAAAGCUUUAUUGCUCACACAAAGCCUGUUUGGUGGUCUCUUCAUACGGACACACGUGACAUUUGGUGCCAAAGACUUGGGACAGAGGGACUCCUUUGGGAGACCAGCCCCCUGUCCUCGCCCUCACUGCGUGAGGAGAUCCACCUAUGACCUUGGGUCCUCAGACCAGCCCAAGGAACAUCUCACCAAUUUCAAAUCGGGACCCCACUGGAAAUUGGACUGUUUAACUUGCCUGGCAGCCACUCCCAGAGCCCCUGGACCUCUGGCUCAGGGCUCUCUGACUGACUCCUUCCCAGAUCUUCUUGGCUUAGUGGCUGAAGACUGACACUGCCUGAGUGCCUCAGAAGCCUCCUGAACCAUCACAGACACUUUGCGUAACUCUUACAGUGGAGGGUAUACAUCCAGAUGGCCUGGAGCAACUGAAGAAUCACAAAAGAAGUGGAAAUGGCUGG